AAAUAGGCCUUUUUCAAAUUGGACUCAACUUUGGGCUCGGUAGGGACACGCCCGUGUGACACGCCCGUGUGACACGCCCGUGUACGAGUACUUCAGGCAAUGGUCGAGGCUGUUAGAUUGGCACGGGCGUGUGUGAUACUCGUGUGAGGAAGUCUAGGCCGUGUUAUUUUCCCUUAUCGGCCCAUUUUCUUCGUUUUUGGCUCGUUUCUCAUUCUUUUCGUCCUCCUAUGCUCACCUAAGUAUAAAACAUGAAAUUAAAGGAUUAGGAGCAUCAAAUUCACCAAAUCUAGGUCGAAAUCAUUCAUAAAUGUGUUAAGCGA
rnacentral:lncRNA from 1 species